rnacentral:rRNA from 1 species
CCCUGCCAUUUGUACACACCGCCCGUCGCUACUACCGAUUGAAUGGCUUAGUGAGCUCUCUGGACUGUUGCACUCUGUGGGAAACCGCGGUGAGCACACGGGAAGGAGAUCAAACUUGAUCAUUUAGA